rnacentral:lncRNA from 1 species
UUGAGAAGGAGAAUUCAUUCAUAAAACCACAGGCAUACAAAGAGCAACAUGAUACAGUGGUCUCGUUAAAACCUUCCUAGGACAACCUCAUGGACAAAUCCUAGGGGAGGAAAGAGUACCACACAUGUCAUGGACUAACAGGAGAGUCCAAUUCAGGUCACUUUGGACCAUUAUAGUAAAAGAACAAGUCAAAAAUAAAAUCUUACACAACGAGAACCGCAAC